rnacentral:rRNA from 1 species
AUUGAACGCUGGCGGCACGCUUAACACAUGCAAGUCGAACGGCAGCGGGGGGAGCUUGCUCCCUGCCGGCGAGUGGCGAACGGGUGAGUAACGCGUAGGGGUCUGCCUGUUAGAGGGGGAUAAGCCGUGGAAACGCGGUCUAAUACCGCAUACGCUCUAAGGAGGAAAGUAUGGGACCGAAAGGCCAUACGCUAACAGAUGAACCUGCGUUAGAUUAGCUAGUUGGUAGGGUAAAGGCCUACCAAGGCGACGAUCUAUAGCUGGUCUGAGAGGAUGACCAGCCACACUGGAACUGAGAUACGGACCAGACUCCUACGGGAGGCAGCAGUGGGGAAUAUUGGACAAUGGGGGCAACCCUGAUUCAGCGAUGCCGCGUGUGUGAAGAAGGCCUGAGGGUUGUAAAGCACUUUAGUUGGGGAGGAAAGCCUGAGGAUGAAUAAGCCUUAGGGGAGACGUUACCCAAAGAAUAAGCACCGGCUAACUCUGUGCCAGCAGCCGCCGUAA